ACAAGACGAGGCCGUUUGCUUGAUCUCUUAUCGUGUAAAACGAAGACCAACAGUUCACGUCGUGCUCUUUGCGCAAAUUCUUGACGCGCACAGCGUGUGGCAGGAGCGCUCGCAAUGCCUGACGGGCACACUGGCAGAUCACUUGACGGAUGGCUUGACGUUCCCUCGCGAAGCCGGCGUUGGCAGUGGCGCCCCUCGCUAGCACUCCCAGGCACCGGCGCUCCACGGCUAAGCGUUUGAAGUGAGCGCACCCAGCGUCUUUCUUGACAGAACAGGAGACUGAAUGGCUAAACCACCACAGAUGUCAUACGCUUGGACCUGCGUCUUCCUGCCAGAUGUCCUCAAAGUCAGAAGAUCCACGAUCUUAGAUUUUGUGUCCAAAGACAUUAACGCUUGUUGAAUGCGUUUUCUUUGUUUUCUUUUUUCUUUUUAAAUAAUUAAAAUGGGGGUUCACUAAAUGGUGCCCCAAACCCUGAA